GCACCCGUAGCUCAACUGGAUAGAGUACCUGGCUUCGAACCAGGCGGUUUGGGGUUCGAAUCCCUGCGGGUGUACCA
rnacentral:tRNA from 1 species